rnacentral:lncRNA from 1 species
CUGCAGUAAUUCUAAUAUAGCUCUAAUGAUUAAAAGAAAAAAAAAAACACCCUGGAUAGGAGUGAUUGUGUAUUAAAUGUUUUCCUAACUCUGUUAGGAUAUUUUCAGCUACAUAUUCAAAGUAACAAAAUCCCAGACUGAAAUAGCUUCCACAAUAAAGAAACGUAUUAUCUUAUAUAACAGGAAGAAGAGAGGUAGUGCAGGCUUCAUAUUUCAGCACUUCAGCAACUCAGCAAUGUCAUCAGGAACCCAGGAGCUUUCAGUCUCUGAUCUGCAUUCUCUCACAUAGCUGGUUCUCGUGGCAGCUAAAGUGGGUCAAGAGGAAAGACAGUAGCAGCUUCCGAGACCAACACAAUCCUCAGGAAGUCAUCUCAUCAGCCCAUUCUCCAGUGUCAUGAAAACUACACUUCCUGCCAUUUCAGAGAGGAGACUGCCACUCCAGAGAACAAAGUCCACUUGAAACAGAUGUAUGGAUGGAUGACGGACUGCAAAAAGCAAACACAAGAAAGCCAAUGCACUCUUUAAAAGAUUCAUAAUUUGACUACAGAAGGAAAGUUAUGAAAAAAGAAUACUUUUGUCCAGAGUCUCAGGAUAAGGCAAGCAAGACACCUGCCUUCAAAUUUGGUAUCAGAGUACACCAUUGUUCUCCUUACCAUCUUUGAAAAUAGCAGUUACCCGAGACCAUUCUGUAUAAAAAAUAAUAGAAAAUAACCUAAAUAAAAAAUGUCAAAC